rnacentral:lncRNA from 1 species
CAGAGGUAGUUGCUAGGAGACGGUAUUGUCCGCGGCUGUUUAGAUGUGAGGACACUGGUUUGCCUAGUGUCUGGAGUAUUGUUUGGUUUUAGUUAAGACUAGGCCGGAGAUCAGACACUGGUUUGCCUAGUGCCUUAGGUGCCUAAAGGUCUAAAACAGUUAUUAGAGGAGAUAUAAGAAGCAGGUAAUAGAAUGAUGACAGUAAUAGAAUGAUGACAGAAUAGUUAGGAAGGAGCCGAGGAAGAGGAGGGCAGGAAUAGACUGAAGAGGAAGGCGGAAUGAGAGUAAGAGACAGCUACCGAUAAGGCAAGAAUGAGAGGGAGUGUGGAAGAAGCCACAUCAAACGAUUGAAUCAAGGCGGGUAUUAUGAACCCAGACCUAUAAGAAAAUUGGUGAGCCUUCUAUUUGAUGAAUUAAAGCACGGUGACCUAAAGCCCUAG